rnacentral:rRNA from 1 species
GGUUAAGUCCCGCAACGAGCGCAACCCUUGUCCCUGGUUGCUACGCAAGAGCACUCCAGGGAGACUGCCGGUGACAAACCGGAGGAAGGUGGGGAUGACGUCAAGUCCUCAUGGCCCUUAUGGGUAGGGCUUCACACGUCAUACAAUGGUCGGAACAGAGGGUCGCCAAGCCGCGAGGUGGAGCCAAUCCCAGAAAACCGAUCGUAGUCCGGAUCGCACUCUGCAACUCGAGUGCGUGAAGCUGGAAUCGCUAGUAAUCGCGGAUCAGCAUGCCGCGGUGAAUACGUUCCCGGGUCUUGUACACACCGCCCGUCACACCAUGGGAGUGGGUUUUACCAGAAGUGGCUAGUCUAACCGCAAGGAGGACGGUCACCACGGUAGGAUUCAUGACUGGGGUGAAGUCGUAACAAGGUAGCCGUAUCGGAAGGUGCGGCUGGAUCACCUCCUUUCC